rnacentral:lncRNA from 1 species
UCUCAAAAGCAUCCUACGGAUUUUCUCGUGGGAUCAAAUUGCCGAAAUAACAUCAUAUUCAAUGAAUCAAGCCUUAGAAUAAUCACUCUCAUUUCAAGCCUUUUUACACUUCUAACUCUAGAUAUUUAGGUCCGAAACACGUCAAACGACGUCCGAUUUCGAUCAAAUUUUACAAGAAGCGCUUAACGCAUAUUUAAGAUAUGCACCGGGUGCCGGAACCCAAAUAGGGGCCCGAUACCAAUAUUUUCUAACUCAUUUUCUUUUCAAAAUUCCAUAUCAUUU